UUCAAAAGUUUUUCGUUGAUGUUUUGGCUCCAUUCAACUUUCUUUUUUGAGCUGUAAUCUACAAUAAAAUAAUUAUAGUUAGUUGUUUGAAGCGGAAAUUUCACUAAGCCACGUGUCACAAGAAUAAGCUUCUUCUAGAAUUGGGGUUGAAUAGAAAUUUAGAUUAGAUGGUCUAUAAUUCACCUGAUCCUGUUGUGUAGUUUGAAAAACAAGGUCUAAAAGCAUGCUCAGGCGUUGAUGUGGCCCAAAUAAGUUAUUGUUGCAAUCUUCACUUGGCUUGAAUAGUCACAGACGCUAUGAUAUUGCACACCAGAAAAAUUCUUAGAAAUGAUUGGAGGGGUUGCCACGGUCCCACUUAAAACCCAGACUCCUUAAACUCUUAUCGCUUUGGUGAUAGAACUUUUCUAAACAUGUACAAUACCACAUGAUUGGUCCACUCUUGGUCUUCGAAUGUUUCCCUUGGAAAUAAUUCUAAUAACAUCGUUUAUGGAUUGAUGAGCGAAGCAGAUAUACAAUUAAAAUAAAAUUGAGAAAUAAAUAUCACAUAGGAGAUAAAAGUUUACGUGGUUCGGUUUUUAGCAUACGUCCACAUGAGAAGAUGGGAGGAAAUAUUUUACUAAUUGUGUAGAGUUUACAAGUAUUGUAAUAAUUUUAUCUCACAACUCAGAACCCCAAUACACCCAAACUUUCAAAUUAAGAAUUUAAAGCUCUCAAAAUAUUUUCUCAAUUGAUGCUUCUU
rnacentral:lncRNA from 1 species